CUACACUAUGACAUAGAAUAUGUGUAUUCCUCAUCCGAGUUGAACCAGGAUAUUGAAACGCAGGCCGAAGCCGAUCCACUCUGCUCCGCCCCGCUUGACAGAAAGGAAGAGGCACCGGAAGGACACGGCGAAUUAGAAACUGGAGCUGAGCUAUUCGAUAUCUACGGUGAGCAAGAACUGUCUGAACCUGAGCCGGAUUCUGAACCAGAAGUGAUUGAGAGUCAGCCAGCUCCACCUUCUAAAACAAGCAAAACCGUCAUUGCCGUAAGCAAAAAAGUAGGUCGCUUUUCAACUCUAUUCUUCUUUUUAUUUGUGCCUUUCUCGUACAAGAAAGUUGUACCGGGAUGUUUUAAUUUCACUCAAAAUACGGGCUUUUUAUAUGAGUUUCUGAUCCAUACUAUUAUAUGUACUUAUCUAUAGAG